UACGGAGGGUGCAAGCGUUAUCCGGAUUCACUGGGUUUAAAGGGUGCGUAGGUGGGUUGGUAAGUCAGUGGUGAAAUACUUUCGCUUAACGAAGGAACUGCCAUUGAUACUAUUUGUCUUGAAUAUCGUUGAGGUAGGCGGAAUAUGUCAUGUAGCGGUGAAAUGCAUAGAGAUGACAUAGAACACCAAUUGCGAAGGCAGCUUGCUAAACGAUGAUUGACGCUGAGGCACGAAAGCGUGGGGAUCAAACAGG
rnacentral:rRNA from 1 species